UUUUACCUAAAAUUUUUAUGUUUUACAUUUAAGUUCAUCAAAAAAAAAAAAAAAAAGAUGCUGUCAUGUAAGACACUAUUUUUGUCACCUAGCACUGUCAGCCCUGUUUCUACUACUCUGCUCUGCUUUUCUGCUGCAUGCCUUGCACUAGACUUACAUCCUAGCCCCCUUCCUGGUAUCCAGCUGGUGUUCAUCUACAACUGCUCUUCUGGAAAAAUGAGGAAUGUUGCUAUCCCGUGGGCUGCUUCCUGAUGCACUGAGGAAAUACAUUGCAUGACAUAUUGCAAUCAUUUUUAUACAUCAAUUGAGCCUCUUUCCCUGGUAGCCCUAUUCUUAGGGAGCUCCUUGGUGGAGACUGCAGUUCCUAGGGCACAAUUUGCCACUACAUAUUUCUUCACCUACUGUCUGCCUGUCUUGUGUCUGGUGCAGUUUCCAUAUGACUAUGGAGAGCAUUUGGUUGACAGCAAUGGGGAGAGCAGGUGAGUGUUGCUGGGGAGAGAGCAGGCAGCAGGCUGACUUCUGAAGGCAGCGGGAAGCAUGGGAGGUGUGGAGUUUGCAUUUCUGUACCAUACUUCUAACUUUCUGGAAGUGCCUCACUUUGGGCUGGCGAGGUGCUCUGUUUUAAUUUCCACAUCAACUGUAUCCUGCUGCCUAAAUUUUUCAAUCCAAUGCCAUCACCUCAGCCAGGUGCAAAUCAAGGCCACCUCUGGGAGACCCCUGUGUAAAAUUUUUCUGCGAGACUCUGAUUUAUUGCUAAGUGAAGAAAUACUGGCAUCUUAGCUAAUGGAAAUGCCUGCAAGAUUCUGGCAAAUUAUUGCCUGAUGGGCUUAUUUUUCAGUGUUGUAAAUUUUUACCUCCACUGCACAUUCAUAAAUACUUUAGAGGACCAGGCAUGGUAGCUUACACCUGUAAUCCCAGCACUUUGGGAGGCCAAGGCAGGUGGAUCACUUGAGGUCAGGAGUUCCAUACUAGCCUUGCCAACACAGUGAAACUCCAACUCUACUAAAAAUAGAAAAAAAUUGUCUGGGCACCGUGGCUCAUGCCUGUAAUCCCAGCACCUUGGGAGGCCAAAGUGGGCAGAUCACCUGAGGUCAGGAGUUCAAGACCAGCCUGGCCAACAUGGUGAAACCCCAUUUCUACUAAAAAUACAAACAUUUGCCAGGCGUGGUGGUGCACACCUGUAAUCCCAGAUACUCAGGAGGCUGAGGCAGGAGAAUCACUUGAACCCGGGAAGCGGAGGUUGCUGUGAGCUGAUAAUGUGUCACCGCACUCUAGCCUGGGCAACAGAGUGAGACUCUGUCUCAAAAAAAAAAAAAAGAAAGAAAGAAAGAAAGAAAAAAUUAGCCAGACAUGGUGGCACAUGCCUGUAAUCCCAGCUACUCAAGAAGCUGAGGCAAGAGAAUCACUUGAGCCAGGGAGGCAGAGGUUGCAGUGAGCCAAGAUUGUGCCACAGCACUCCAGCAGCAGAGUGAAACUGUCUCAAAUAAAUAAAUAAAUAUAUAAAUAAAUAAAUACUUUAGAGGAGAGUUAGACAGCCUGCAUCCGGAGUAGAUAACCAGAGCUUAGUUUAGAGCAGAACUAAGCUUCUGCUUGGUUAGUUACCUAGCAUCUUCCACUGAGUCUCUUACAGCAUCGAACAGCAGACAUUUGCAUGGCAACUCUGUUGGUAGCGUUAGAGAAACCAAAGAGGAGUGAAGGCUCCACUAGAGGCUGAAGUGGGGACAGAAUGGAGAAGUAAAGCAGGCAUAAGACAAAUGUUGAAAUAAAAAUGAUGGGACAAGAAAUAAGCCAAGAACAUUUUUUUUCUCUAUCCAUUUCUUUGGCAUGUUUCCUUAAUUCUUGAUAUUCCAGAAGAGCUUUUCCACAAAUGUCAAAGGAGUUUUCAAUAUGAUGGUCCACCAGGUUGGUGGUGCAUUAGCAGGUAACUUUUUAAAGAGCAUUGGUACGAACCUAAGCUGCAACCACAGACGAGAAUGCUGCUGUCCCCUGAGACCAGAGAUGAGGCCUUGGGGAGUCGUGAAAGGGAGAAGUCCUCCUCCUGUCCAGCCAGGUGCCCUUCACCUGCUCCCAGACAAACGAUGCCCUGUUGCCCAAAAGUCACACUCCUGUGCUUAGGGGACAGCAUGGUCUAGAGUAAGACCUUUGGAUCUUCUGAACUUAAGCAAUAUUCACUAUUCAAAUGAGUAAUUGCUAUUUUAUGAUCAGUCUCCGAAGCAUGAAAAGAGAGUGGGGGGUAGUUAGUAGCUCUUCUGACCUCCUGCAAUCAAUAGUUCAGGUACUAAUAUAUCCCUUAUUUCUAUCACAAAGAUGGUCAUAUGGGUAAAACAAAAUCCAGUUUUCCCUCCUUCCAACCCAAUUUAGAAGGUGUGCACACUGUGUCCCCUCCCGUGUAGAGCCUGUUCUCUGGCACAUCCCACAAGUGUCAUUCUAGAAAUCUCUCUGUGUUCAGAGUAUUUGUGAGCAGUUUCUUCUCUAUUAUCAGGUGUGCAUUUUCACAGCGGGUGUCUCCAUAGAGUGGGGGAUUCGGUCAUUGAACUGACUACUUGAGAGUAGAGGAUGUUUGUAACAGGUCUAAGAUUCUGUCUUGGGGCCAGGCACGGUGGCUCACGUCUGUAAUCCCAGUACUUUGGGAAGCUGAGGCGGGUGGAUCAAGAGGUCAGGAGAUCGAGACCACCCUGGCUAACACGGUGAAACCCCGUCUCUACUAAAAAUACAAAAAAAUUAGCCAGGCGUGGUGGCGGGUGC
rnacentral:lncRNA from 10 species